UCUACCUUGUCCAUGGUAGAGGUUACACUAACACGAAAUAAAAUAACUUCAACAUUUUGGGUGCAGAUUUUGUGAAGAAAUAUAUGCUUUGUGAAUUAUGAAAGGUCACUUAUGACACGUGAUGUACAAAGUGCAUGGCAAAGAUGUACUGGACAAUUGUUGUAUUAGUUCAAAGUGCACAGGGUGAUAAUUUCAUUACUUUCAGGAAUCUCCGAGUGACAGCGUUGCUCCAGGACUAGCUACUCCCGACCAGUCAGCAAGCUUGGCAGCUGGGCCAAUUCAUGAAUGCCGGGGUGAGGACAUACUAUCUCCAAAUACUACUUCAAAGUAGUAUACACUUGGUUGUUGUAGUGCCACGCACUGAGCUCACUACAAGCAAGCCACCACUGGAUUCCACAGCCAGAAGACAAAUGGGAACUGUAAGAGACUGACAUGCUGACAGAGCUCAAGGUUCUAGUCAGCCGUGGCACACAGAUGGACUAUACGCGGGCAUCUUCGCCUGCCGCACUGGAGAUCUGUCCCUUUGGCUUUGGAUCAACACCACCUGUUCCAUUUAUCGAUCCGGCAUAUCAGGUUCAGCCCACAGAGGAACCGCAGCCUCAAGCGGAACCUGAGCCAGCCACACUGGCAGAGAUUGACUGGUUGUUCUGUGGAACAGAACAAGACAUGGAGGUAGAGCUACCUUGAGAGAUGGAACUGCCCUCAGAGCUGCCUGAAGAUGACUUCCCCACUCAAGGAGAUUGCUGCUUUGAAGUCGACCCUGCCUUUGAGGAUGGCCUCCCCUCAGAGGCAGACCCGCCCUCUGAAGGCUACCUUCUCUUCAAAGCUGCCCCUUUCUUAAGCAGAGCCAUACAAUGCCGCUGAUCGCACAUACUACUCCUCGGAUGAAGACAGCAGUAACAGGUCUGCAGGCAAAAGCACAGCUCCGACGCCCGACAAGGAAAGGAAGUAUAUAAUCUGCGAAGGAUCCUUGUUGGUGCUGUUUAAGUUCUGUAGAGAGUGCCACAAGCCCUGCACAGCGGAACUGCAUCCUGACGGCUCUUGCCCGACAGUGACCACAGAGUGCCAAGAUGGACAUGUCAGGAAGUGGACGAGUGAGCCCAGUAUGUCGGGGAGGAAUGUGGGAAGCCUUCUUCUCUCCGCCGCAGUUCUCUUCCAUGGGGCAAGCCCUGUCGUAACACUGAGGAUGCUGCAGCACUUAACAUUCAAGUCAUCUCCGAUCGCACCUACUACAGAUAUCAAAAGCAUUAUCUUCUGCCUUCAAUAGC